CCUACGGGUGGCAGCAGUGGGGAAUAUUGCACAAUGGGGGGAACCCUGAUGCAGCGACGCCGCGUGAGUGAAGAAGUAUUUCGGUAUGUAAAGCUCUAUCAGCAGGGAAGAAAAUGACGGUACCUGACUAAGAAGCCCCGGCUAACUACGUGCCAGCAGCCGCGGUAAUACGUAGGGGGCAAGCGUUAUCCGGAUUUACUGGGUGUAAAGGGAGCGCAGACGGCUGUGCAAGUCUGGAGUGAAAGGCGGGGGCCCAACCCCCGGACUGCUCUGGAAACUGUAAAGCUGGAGUGCAGGAGAGGUAAGCGGAAUUCGUAGUGUAGCGGUGAAAUGCGUAGAUAUUAGGAGGAACACCAGUGGCGAAGGCGGCUUACUGGACUGCAACUGACGUUGAGGCUCGAAAGCGUGGGGAGCGAACAGGAUUAGAUACCCUGGUAGUC
rnacentral:rRNA from 1 species